rnacentral:rRNA from 1 species
GUGAGGAAUAUUGCGCAAUGGGCGAAAGCCUGACGCAGCGACGCCGCGUGGAGGAUGAAGGUCUUCGGAUUGUAAACUUCUGUUAAGUGGGAAGAAAGGGCUGCUUUUAAUAGAAGCAGUUAAUGACGGUACCAUUAAAGAAAGCACCGGCUAAACUCGUGCCAGCAGCCGCGGUAAUACGAGUGGUGCAAGCGUUAUUCGGAAUAAUUGGGCGUACAGGGUGUGUAGGCGGUAUGUUAAGUCUGUUGUUAAAGACUCCGGCCUAACCGGAGACAGGCAGCGGAAACUGGCGUACUAGAGGGUGGAAGAGAGAAGUGGAAUUCUCGGUGUAGCGGUAAAAUGCGUAGAUAUCGAGAGGAACACCGAUGGCGAAGGCAGCUUCUUGGUCCAUACCUGACGCUGAAACACGAAAGCGUGGGGAGCAAACAGGAUUAGAAACCCCUGUAGUCC